rnacentral:rRNA from 1 species
UACGUAGGGUGCAAGCGUUGUCCGGAAUUAUUGGGCGUAAAGAGCUCGUAGGUGGCCUGUCGAGUCGGCUGUGAAAACUCGGGGCUCAACUCCGAGCUUGCAGUCGAUACGGGCAGGCUAGAGUUCGGCAGGGGAGACUGGAAUUCCUGGUGUAGCGGUGAAAUGCGCAGAUAUCGGGAGGAACACCUGUGGCGAAAGCGGCUCACUGGACCACAACUGACGCUGAGGCGCGAAAGCUAGGGGAGCAAACAGG